CCUUCGAUAGCUCAGCUGGUAGAGCGGAGGACUGUAGGCUGCCUGUACAAAGUAAUCCUUAGGUCGCUGGUUCAAUUCCGGCUCGAAGGA
rnacentral:tRNA from 1 species